UACGAAGGGGGCUAGCGUUGCUCGGAAUCACUGGGCGUAAAGGGUGCGUAGGCGGGUCUUUAAGUCAGGGGUGAAAUCCUGGAGCUCAACUCCAGAACUGCCUUUGAUACUGAGGAUCUUGAGUCCGGGAGAGGUGAGUGGAACUGCGAGUGUAGAGGUGAAAUUCGUAGAUAUUCGCAAGAACACCAGUGGCGAAGGCGGUUCACUGGCCCGGUACUGACGCUGAGGCACGAAAGCGUGGGGAGCAAACAGG
rnacentral:rRNA from 1 species